rnacentral:sRNA from 1 species
CAGCGCAAUAGAAAUUGAAAAGUAAAAAAACAAAAACAACGCAGAAAAAAACGGGCGACGUUUAGUUGCUGUCAACGCGCAUAAUCGUAGCCAUCGCACACGGACAGCACACACACAGCCAGACAGUCUGUGUAUAUAACUGUGUCGUGUGUACGAGAGCUAGAUUGAGAGGGAUUGGGCAGAGCAGCAUAGACAGAUAGAUUUUACAGACUUCACAAACGUCAUUUAAAUACAAAGAAGAAGAAAUUUACAGUUAUGCGUGUGCGAGAUAAACGUAAACAGCACAAGGAGCACAAAUCGACGAAAAGCGGCGAUAAAGAAAAGGCAACGGAUGCCGCAGCAAAGCAAAGCACGC